rnacentral:misc_RNA from 1 species
UACGUAGGUUGCGAGCGUUGUCCGGAUUUAUUGGGCGUAAAGCGCGCGCAGGCGGUCUCGCAAGUCCAAGGUGAAAGCUCCCGGCCCAACUGGGAGAGGCCCUUGGAAACUGCGGGACUUGAAGGCGGGAGAGGAAAGCGGAAUUUCCGGUGUAGCGGUAAAAUGCGUAGAUACCGGAAGGAACACCAGUGGCGAAGGCGGCUUUCUGGCCCGUUCUUGACGCUCAGGCGCGAAAGCUAGGGGAGCGACCGGG